CAGUAAGUAGUUUAUUUAUAAAAUUUUAAUUUUGGAGAUUAAAGAAAAGUUAAUUCUUUUUACUGA
rnacentral:tRNA from 1 species